rnacentral:lncRNA from 1 species
GUUUGCUGAUUCAGUGAUCUAUUUUGUACCUUUAAAGAAAUAAAUUGUUGUAGUACACUAGUUGGAAGACUUUAUUCCAUUGUAAUAUAUUAAGCACUCUUACACAACCACCAAUUCUUCCAGUCCCCUAGAAGAUACUUAAGCUAUUAUUUACUAAUAUCUGGUCCCAAAAUAUUUACGUUGGUUCAAAAAGUAUCCAGAUACUAGGAAGUAAUAUCAACCCUACCAAAAAAAAACUGACUUAAUGAAAAACAAUGCUAAAAUAUAUCCCUGUCGAAGUAGAUUUCAUUUCCACAUUCAUGUAGUCCUAAAUAAUUCAAAAUUAUAAAAAUCUUACAUCCUAUGAAUAUAACAGUAUCCGUGCAAGCCAAGCAAAGAGUAAAAAUUAGUUUUUUAUUAUCUUUAGAAUUCAAAGUAGCAACUCGCCUUUUACAACCGAAAAGUUAAACCAAAAAUAGAAAUCCAAAAGAGCUGCUGAAAGACUCCAAAAUUUAGAAGUGCUCCAGGGAGAUGCACCCAUGGGCACAGGUGUGAGCAUUCAUCCUAUACCAUGGUCUGGGGCUCGUUGGCAGCCCAACUCUGUAGACUAUACCUCAGUGAUGGAGCAGCCCAGAGACCCCAUCCUAAAGAAACGCUUUUCAGUUUCUUCACACAAUAAGAAACUCCCUAGAGCCUGCCAGAUGGCUCCACAGAUAAAAGUGCUUGCUGCCAAGUGUGACAGCCUUAGAGACCCAGGCCCACAUGGUGGAAGGAGAGCACCCACUCUUGUAAACUGUCCUCCCAGCUUAUAACCACCAUGGCAUGUUCUCACACUCUCACACACAGUUUUUUUUUAGAUUGCUGGCUUGACAGUCUACUAAGCAUUUUAAUGUAUAGCAAAUGAAAGUUAAAAAAAAAAAAAAAAACUAGUCUGAUAUUUUCAGCCUCAUUCCAGCAUACCUCCACUUUCCACAUCAAUGUUUAAUCACAAUCAUGACACACUGGAGUGAUUGUAGCACCCACUAGCACUUAUAUGCACAAGCUAUCAGAAAGACUGUUCAAAAAUAGCACUAGAGUGUUCUUCAAAUGUUGUAUUUCACUUGUCAAAAAAAAAAAUACUAGUUGGAGCAUUAUAAAUUGACUUUUGUAGCUCAUUGCCAUGACACAAUUGUUUUAGAAUAUUCGUCAAAUAAUGCAGUGUUUAUUAAGCACCUGUGAUAAACUAGGAACUGUAAUUUUAUAGUUGCAGAUAAAAUAGGAUAUAAGGUAGGAAGUUGACUAUAUUAAAAGUUCAGUGUAUCCUCUUGAAAUGAAACUUCUAAUUGGUAUUUAAUGCUGCAUUUUUAACUUAUAUAUAUUCAAAAAAGCGAAUCCCACCAAGACAUGUAACCUCCUUUUUCAGGUCUUGCCAUCACACAAAUAUCCUGUUUACCUAAAAACAUAAUGAACUUUGUUACUUAGCCAAUCUGACAUUUCCCAAAUUUUUUAAAAUCUAAGAGGUUCUGGGUAUUGGUGCAGGAUAGGGAUGUAGCUCAGGGUAGAACUGCAGCAUAGCAUGCAUGCAGUCCUGGUUCCAACCCCAGCACCAGAAGAGAAAGAGACUAGAAUCACACACAUUUUUUGCUUUUUCUGAAUUCAUUUGAUCACAUCUGGAGACUGGUGUCCUAACAUCCUAAAAUUUAAGCUAUAUUUCUUUCUGCCUGCCCACCUUCUCUUCUCCAGCAUCUAUUAAAGGGUAAGAAAAUUUGCUAAGAUCUUGCAGUUGUUUUCUUCCCCAUUCUCCAUUCUCUGUACUUUUGCCUAGGGUCCCUUUCUCUCUUAUGAAAAAUAAAAUAGCUACAGGUCCCUUCCUCUGUAUCCCUACUGCUUAGAUGGGAAUAUCAAGAAUCUCUGUUAGAAUCCAAAUCAGAAGGGUGAAGUUGGCGUGUUUUUCUAAAUGCACAUUAAUCUGUCUGUUACUAAGGCUUGAAAAUAUCAAUCAAGUUUUACUGGAAUACUUAGAGUGCUUAUAAAAGUUAUCUUUCAGUGCACUAUGUUAUUAUCAUUUAAAAAACAGUCCUUUAAAUGUAGAAGACACUUUUUCAUAUUUCAGUGGGACUGAGAAAUAAAAAUAUAUUUAUUAAACUC